AAUGAACGUUGGCGGCGUGGAUUAGGCAUGCAAGUCGAGCGUGAUAGGUUUGGUGCUUGCAUUAAACCUUGAAAGCGGCGAAAGGGACAGUAACGCGUAGAUACCUACCUCCAGGUCCGGGAUAGCGGCGGGAAACUGCCGGUAAUACCGAAUAAUGUCUUCGGACCAAAGGUGUGAUUCCGCUUGGAGACGGAUCUGCGUCCUAUUAGCUAGUUGGUGGGGUAAUGGCCCACCAAGGCGAUGAUGGGUAGCGGGCGUGAGAGCGUGGCCCGCGUCACUGGGACUGGGACACUGCCCAGACACCUACGGGUGGCUGCAGUCGAGAAUCUUCGGCAAUGGGCGCAAGCCUGACCGAGCGACGCCGCGUGCGGGAUGAAGGCCUUCGGGUUGUAAACCGCUGUCGGAGAGGCGGAAAUCUCUAGGGGUUCUCCCCUAGAGUUGACCUAAUCUCGGAGGAAGUCCGGGCUAAGUUCGUGCCAGCCGCCGCAGUAACAC
rnacentral:rRNA from 1 species